rnacentral:rRNA from 1 species
GACGAACGCUGGCGGCGUGCUUAACACAUGCAAGUCGAACGGAAAGGCCCUGCGUUUGUGGGGUGCUCGAGUGGCGAACGGGUGAGUAACACGUGAGUAACCUGCCCUUGACUUUGGGAUAACUUCAGGAAACUGGGGCUAAUACCGUAUAGGAUCUGCUGCUGCAUUGUGGGGGUUGGAAAUUUUCGGCGGUUGGGGAUGGAUUCGCGGCUUAUCAGCUUGUUGGUUGGGUAGUGGCUUACCAAGGCUUUGACGGGUAGCCGGCCUGAGAGCGUGAACGGCCACAUUGGGACUGAGAUACGGCCCAGACUCCUACGGGAGGCAGCAGUGGGGAAUAUUGCACAAUGGGCGGAAGCCUGAUGCAGCAACGCCGCGUGCGGGAUGACGGCCUUCGGGUUGUAAACCGCUUCCGCCUGUGACGAAGCGUGAGUGACGGUAAUCAGUAAAGAAGCACCGGCUAACUACGUG